rnacentral:rRNA from 1 species
AGCGAACGCUGGCGGCAGGCUUAACACAUGCAAGUCGAGGGGAGCGGCAGACGGGUGAGUAACGCGUGGGAACGUACCUUUUGGUUCGGAACAACACAGGGACACUUGUUCUAAUACCGGAUACCGAAAGAUCGGCCCGCGUCUGAUUAGCUAGUUGGUAGGGUAAUGGCCUACCAAGGCGACGAUCAGUAGCUGGUCUGAGAGGAUGAUCAGCCACAUUGGGACUGAGAAACGGCCCAAAAUCUUACGCGAGGCAGCAGUGGGGGAUAUUGGACAAUGGGGGCAACCAUGAUCCAGCUAUGCCGCGUGAGUUAUGAAGGCCCUAGGGUUGAAAAGCUCUUUUAUGCGGGAGGCGGUACCGAAAGAAUAAGCCACGGCUAACUUCGUGCCAGCAGCCGCGGUAAUUC